rnacentral:lncRNA from 1 species
AUAGUGGCUAAGAGUUAGGAGGCUAAAGCGACAGGAGCAGAUAACGGGUCCAAUGACCGAUCCCAACAAGCUAAGAGUCAAGGCUAAGUUUUAAGGAGGCUUACUACUGCAGUACUGCUUUUGUAAGAGAGUGCCAAGCAGCUGGGGAAACAUGAUACAAGAGACAUUGGUUUUGGAAAAAAGAAAAAGGCAGAAGCUGGAAGACCCUUGGGGCUACUCAAGUGAAGCAGUAGAAGUGGACAAGGAACAAAAAAAUCUACUCACAGCUGGAGAAAAUUUGUGUCAAGAUGAAUCAUGUUUUGAAUCUUCUCUCAUGUCAGAUUUAGAUAACUGUUUGGACUAUGGACCUCUUAGUUGAUGCUGGAAAGUGUUAAGAUUUUGGGGACUAUUAAGGUGAAAUAAAUGUAUUUUGCAUGUGAGAAAGACAUUAAUUUUGGGGGCUGUGGUGGAGAGCUAUGGCUUGAAUGUGUCCCCUAAGAAGCAUGUGUUGGAAACUUAAUCCCCAGUGCAACAGUGUUGGAAAGUUGGGCGUAAGAAAAGAUGUUUAUGUCAUAAGGGCUCCACCCACAUGAAUGCAUUAUUACUGAUUGUUAAAAGGCUUGAGGCUGCAAGUUUGAUCUCUCUCAUACACAAGCAUAUGUGGUUUCUUGCUCUUCUGUCUUUCACCAUGGGAUGGCUCAGUGAGAAGACUCUAACCAGAUGUAGGCCCCCUUGACUUUGAACUUCUCAGCCUCUCGAGCUGUAAGAAAUAAAUCACUGCUUUUUAAAUAAAUUAUCCAGUUUCAGAUAUUCUUUUGUAGCAGCAAAAAAUGGACUAUGACAUGGAGCUUUAAGAGACAUCUGAUAAAAAUAAAAUUUAAGUGAAAACGUGGGCAGAUAGGAUGAGAACCUGUCCCAUGAAAAAACCCUGUGUAGUCACUAGGUGAGAGAAGAAAUUCAGAACACCAUGUCUUCACUCUAUAUGUGUACAUCCUAGAGAUGAAGAAUUAUAGAUUAAAAAACCAAAAUUACUAUUUAAUUAUUUUGUAUAACAAAAUGAGACACUACCAUCACUUUUUGAGACACUUAUAUCUAUGUCAACCAAAAAGCAAAUCCCAAUUUUUCCUCCCCAUACAACAGACCAUCACAUAAACUCCGCCCUGUGAGGGCCCAGGCCAUCUAAUUACAGCAUUGCAGCUAUCACAACUAAGCCAAGUAUCUCAGGAGAAAAAAAGCUACCUGUUUCUAGCCACACAAUUAAGCCAUGUAAACACAUGUCAUACUUUGUGUCAAAGCAGUGAUAGUAUCAGUUACUUAGAGAUGAAUAACUGGUGCUUGGGACUGGAGCAGCCUUGAGACAAGAAUAUCACUCAUCAGUCCCAAAGAAAUGGCAGAGGAGGAACCAUGGCUGGAAAAGCAGACGCUAUAGUGGAAGACAACCUUUUAGGCUUCCUCAAAAGCCUGGAGUUGGGGUAUCUUGCUGGUAAUUGAAAUUCCUAUGUAAAAUGUUGGAAUAAAGAAUAAAGUUAAUUUGGGUGUGUUCUAUUUUUUCCACAUAAACUUGCAAGUUAGACCCACAGUUUUUGCUUAUGUAUCAAUGUUAUAAUAUGCUACUUUAACACUAGUGCUAGUUUAUUAAUCCUAUGAGUUCAACUGUGUAAUUUUCAUUUUUUUGCUGUGUUUUGUAGGAUUUUAUGUAGUUUAA